rnacentral:rRNA from 1 species
UACGUAGGGGGCGAGCGUUGUCCGGAAUUACUGGGCGUAAAGGGCUCGUAGGCGGCCAACUAAGUCAGACGUGAAAUCCCUCAGCUUAACUGGGGAACUGCGUCUGAUACUGGAUGGCUUGGAUUCGGGAGAGGAAUUCGGAAUUCCAGGUGUAGCGGUGAAAUGCGUAGAUAUCUGGAGGAACACCGGUGGCGAAGGCGGCAUUCUGGACCGACAUUGACGCUGAGGAGCGAAAGCCAGGGGAGCAAACGGG